GACGAACGCUGGCGGCGUGCUUAACACAUGCAAGUCGAACGAUGAAGCCGGAGCUUGCUCUGGUGAAUUAGUGGCGAACGGGUGAGUAACACGUGAGUAACCUGCCCUUGACUCUGGGAUAACUGCUAGAAAUGGUAGCUAAUACCGGAUACGACCCUCGGAGGCAUCUCCAGGGGGUGGAAAGAAUUUCGGUCAAGGAUGGACUCGCGGCCUAUCAGCUAGUUGGUGAGGUAACGGCUCACCAAGGCGACGACGGGUAGCCGGCCUGAGAGGGUGACCGGCCACACUGGGACUGAGACACUGCCCAGACUCCUACGGGAGGCAGCAGUGGGGAAUAUUGCACAAUGGGCGCAAGCCUGAUGCAGCAACGCCGCGUGAGGGAUGACGGCCUUCGGGUUGUAAACCUCUUUUAGUAGGGAAGAAGCGAAAGUGACGGUACCUGCAGAAAAAGCACCGGCUAACUACGUGCCAGCAGCCGCGGUAA
rnacentral:rRNA from 1 species